rnacentral:ncRNA from 1 species
UAAAGGCGAAUAGCGCAUGUACCCAUGAAGGCAGCCAUUAGGGUAGACGAGGGGAAGGGUUAUCGAAUCAUCAGCGGAUGCUCUUCCGGCAUGUUCAUGUCGUAACAAGUACUAAAAAUCCUAUCGGUAACGAUGGGGACAAAGGGUAUUUGAUUGAACAAU